GCCCUAAAGCAACUCAAUAACAGAUUGAAGGAGGGACAGGCAGAUUCAUAUAAAAAGAACAGCGGUUAAAAGUCAAAGUAGGAAUGGUAAUAUGGAUUCCCUUGGACAUUGAAGCUUCCAGAUGAUUGGCGGUUGCCAUGGGGAGAGAGGCAUUGACGUGAUAGCUGUGGGCGGGUCCUGCAGCACCCGACUGCUUUAACCCCAGAGACAGCGGCACCACAGCAGCACCAAAUAUCUCGUUGGUGCGUGGUACACAGCCCACCACAAUUAUUGCCGUCCUCGUUCAGAGACAGAUAUAUUCCUCACAUUUUUUUCAAUCACUGUGGAGGAGCCAGGCUUCAAAUCUUCACAAGGAAAGCUCCCUGAAUUCAGCUGGAGGGUUCAAGGCCACCGGACCACUACGUAUAUCCGCGGUGCAUCAAUUCACGCUUACCUUAUAAGAAUGAUUUUCCUUAAUUUGCCCUUAACAUGUUCAUGUUUGUCGGACUGUAAUGCUAAUACAUUAUUUAAACAGCAGAGAUGAAAGAAGUGCGAAGGUUGGGGGUCUUAAGUAAAAGCAAUGUUGGAAAUACACAGCAUUCAAGUCAGGCAGAAUCUAAAAAGAUAGAAAGGUUAAUAUUUCAGGCAGAUCUCAAAUAUGCUGACAGGCUUGCUGUAUAUUUCCAGCCUAAUGGCAUAUCAUUUCUCUAUUAUAACAAUACCUGUCGAAUUAUUAAGAUUAAAUAAAAUGCUUUGGCAGCGAAUACCUAAUUUGUGAGUACAUUGAUACAUGCGAUGUUUCCAAUAGUGUGUCCUUUGUAUUAGUAAAACGCCAGUUGGGAUUCCGUGCAGCUGUGUCUAUUGUCAAGUUUAUCAAAUUCCAUCCGCUUGCAGUAAGCUAUUUCGUUCCCGGUAUGAUCCCUGGUGACACGGAAAACAUUGCUGGACUGCAGAUUGCGUUAUAUUUGGAAUUUUGGUAAAAGGUCCCUCCUAAAACAACCAGUCUUUGUCACAUACUAACUAACCUGCUAUGUUUCUAUAUACCAUUUUCUGUUUUUGUUUCAGAUUUCUAUGAAUCGCAUUUCUCAGUAUUUUUUUCUACCGGAGAUUUCGUCUUUUUAAUGGGUACUUCCCCUCCUUGACCUAAAUUCAUAAAAUAAUUUGACAAUUAUUAUCAUUUGUUGCUUGGAGUUUACACGUUAUUCCCAUUUUUCGACCUGUUUUGAAAAGAUGUUCCUGAAAUUAAUCAAACCUGUGACAAACUGUUGUCUUUCGCGAUGCAUCAUUUUUCCAAGUAUACCUUUCAAUUUUGUUUGAGUUAAAAAUUAAACUGGGAAGAUCAUUUUGUAGCAAAUUAGAAAGAGGAAUACGGCAUUCAGUUGAGUAUUUUGAUUGCUGUUGUACAACCACUCAGAAAUCCUCAAUAAACAAUUGUUUUUCAA